UACGUAGGGGGGCUAGCGUUGUCCGGAAUCAUUGGGCGUAAAGAGCGUGUAGGCGGUCCGGUAAGUCCGCUGUGAAAGUCGGGGGCUCAACCCUCGAAUGCCGGUGGAUACUGUCGGGCUAGAGUGCGGAAGAGGCGAGUGGAAUUCCUGGUGUAGCGGUGAAAUGCGCAGAUAUCAGGAGGAACACCGGUGGCGAAGGCGGGUCUCUGGGCCGUAACUGACGCUGAGGAGCGAAAGCAUGGGGAGCGAACAGG
rnacentral:rRNA from 1 species